rnacentral:rRNA from 1 species
CGGGUGAGUAACACGUGGGAAUCUGCCCUCAAGUGGUGAAUAACUGGCCGAAAGGCUAGCUAAUGUGCCAUACGCCGAAAGGUGAAAGCAGCAAUGCGCUCGAGGAUGAGCCCGCGUCCGAUUAGCUAGUUGGUAAGGUAAGAGCUUACCAAGGCACCGAUCGGUAGCUGGUCUGAGAGGAUGAUCAGCCACAAUGGGACUGAGACACGGCCCAU